rnacentral:rRNA from 1 species
ACGAACGCUGGCGGCAUGCCUUAUACAUGCAAGUCGAACGCGAAAGUGUCUUCGGACAUUAGUAGAGUGGCAAACGGGUGAGUAACGCGUGGGAAUAUACCUUAUAGUAUGGAAUAGCCUCGGGAAACUGGGAUUAAUACCAUAUACGCCCUUCGGGGGAAAGAUUUAUCGCUAUAGGAUUAGCCCGCGUAAGAUUAGCUAGUUGGUGGGGUAAUGGCCUACCAAGGCAACGAUCUUUAGCUGGUCUGAGAGGACGAUCAGCCACAUUGGGACUGAGACACGGCCCAAACUCCUACGGGAGGCAGCAGUAGGGAAUAUUGGACAAUGGGCGAAAGCCUGAUCCAGCAAUGCCGCGUGAGUGAUGAAGGCCUUAGGGUUGUAAAGCUCUUUUAGUGGGGAAGAUAAUGGCGGUACCCACAGAAUAAGCACCGGCUAACUUCGU